rnacentral:snRNA from 1 species
AGCUUUGUACAGUGGCAGUAUCAUAGCCAAUGAGGUUUAUUCAAGGCAUGAUUAUGGCUAAUUGAAAUUAGAUUUCUUUGAAUUUAACUUUAAUGGACAAUACAUUAAAUAUUUUACAUAAU